AGCUUUGCGCAGUGGCAGUAUCGUAGCCAAUGAGGUUUAUCCGAGCCGCGAUUAUUGAAAUUGAAAAGUUUUCCCAAUACCACGCCACGCUGAUUUGAAACAAUAGUCGGCGUCGGCAAUUUUUGCCAGCUCUUUCGGGAG
rnacentral:snRNA from 1 species